AGAGAGUAGCUUGCUACUCUGCUGACGAGCGGCGGACGGGUGAGUAAUGCUUGGGAAUAUGCCUUAUGGUGGGGGACAACAGUUGGAAACGACUGCUAAUACCGCAUGAUGUCUACGGACCAAAGUGGGGGACCUUCGGGCCUCACGCCAUAAGAUUAGCCCAAGUGGGAUUAGCUAGUUGGUGAGGUAAUGGCUCACCAAGGCGACGAUCCCUAGCUGGUUUGAGAGGAUGAUCAGCCACACUGGGACUGAGACACGGCCCACACUCCUACGGGAGGCAGCAGUGGGGAAUAUUGCACAAUGGGCGCAAGCCUGAUGCAGCCAUGCCGCGUGUGUGAAGAAGGCCUUCGGGUUGUAAAGCACUUUCAGUAAGGAGGAAAGGUUAAGUGUUAAUAGCACUUAGCUGUGACGUUACUUACAGAAGAAGCACCGGCUAACUCCGUGCCAGCAGCCGCGGUAAUACGGAGGGUGCGAGCGUUAAUCGGAAUUACUGGGCGUAAAGCGUACGCAGGCGGUUUGUUAAGCGAGAUGUGAAAGCCCCGGGCUCAACCUGGGAACUGCAUUUCGAACUGGCAAACUACAGUGUGAUAGAGGGUGGUA
rnacentral:rRNA from 1 species